AUGGGUGAUGGCGUGCCUUUUGUAGAAUGAACCGGCGAGUUACGUUCCCGUGCAAGGUUAAGGUGAAGAGCUGAAGCCGCAGCGAAAGCGAGUCUGAAUAGGGCGAAUGAGUACGUGGACGUAGACCCGAAACCGGGUGAUCUACCCCUGUCCAGGGUGAAGGUGCGGUAACACGCACUGGAGGCCCGAACCCACGCAUGUUGAAAAAUGCGGGGAUGAGGUGGGGGUAGCGGAGAAAUUCCAAUCGAACCCGGAGAUAGCUGGUUCUCCCCGAAAUAGCUUUAGGGCUAGCCUCGGAAAGAAGAAUCGUGGAGGUAGAGCACUGAUUGGGUGCGGGGCCCGCAAGGGUUACCAAGCUCAGUCAAACUCCGAAUGCCAUAGAUUUAGUUCCGGGAGUCAGACAGUGAGUGCUAAGAUCCAUUGUCGAAAGGGAAACAGCCCAGACCAUCAGCUAAGGUCCCCAAGUGUGUGUUAAGUGGGAAAGGAUGUGGAGUUGCACAGACAACCAGGAUGUUGGCUUAGAAGCAGCCACCAUUGAAAGAGUGCGUAAUAGCUCACUGGUCGAGUGACUCUGCGCCGAAAAUGUAACGGGGCUAAACACACCACCGAAGCUAUGGCUUGAUGCUUGCAUCAGGGGUAGGGGAGCGUUGAAUGCGGGUUGAAGGUGUACCGGAAGGAGCGCUGGACUGCAUUCAAGUGAGAAUGCCGGUAUGAGUAACGAAAAGAUCUGUGAGAAUCAGAUCCGCCGAAAGCCUAAGGGUUCCUGAGGAAGGUUCGUCCGCUCAGGGUAAGUCGGGACCUAAGGCGAGGCCGAUAGGCGUAGUCGAAGGACAACAGGUGGAAAUUCCUGUACCACCGUAAUCCGCUAUGAGCGAUGGGGUGACGCAGUAGGGUAGUGACGCGGACUGAUGGAUGUCCGUCUAAGCAGUGAGGCUGAUGUGUAGGCAAAUCCGCACAUCGUAAGGCUGGGCUGUGAUGGGGAGCGAAAAUUAUAGUAGCGAAGGUCAUGAUCUCAGACUGCCAAGAAAAGCCUCUAGCCAGGAGAAGGUGCCCGUACCGCAAACCGACACAGGUAGGCGAGAAGAGAAUUCUAAGGCGCGCGGAAGAACUCUCGUUAAGGAACUCGGCAAAAUGACCCCGUAACUUCGGGAGAAGGGGUGCCUCGGUAGGGUGAAUAGCCCGAGGGGGCCGCAGUGAAAAGGCCCAAGCGACUGUUUAGCAAAAACACAGGUCUGUGCGAAGCCGCAAGGCGAAGUAUACGGGCUGACGCCUGCCCGGUGCUGGAAGGUUAAGGGGAGUGGUAAGCCUUCGGGCGAAGCUAUGAACCGAAGCCCCAGUAAACGGCGGCCGUAACUAUAACGGUCCUAAGGUAGCGAAAUUCCUUGUCAGGUAAAUUCUGACCCGCACGAAUGGCGUAACGACUUGGGCGCUGUCUCAACGAGAGAUCCGGUGAAAUUUUAAUACCUGUGAAGAUGCAGGUUACCCGCGACAAGACGGAAAGACCCCAUGGAGCUUUACUGCAGCUUGAUAUUGAAUUUGGGUACGAUCUGUACAGGAUAGGUGGGAGCCGUUGAACCUUGAGCGCCAGCUUGAGGGGAGGCAUCCUUGGGAUACCACCCUGAUCGUAUCUAGGUUCUAACUUGGUACCGUGAUCCGGUACGAGGACAGUGUCAGGUGGGCAGUUUGACUGGGGCGGUCGCCUCCUAAAGAGUAACGGAGGCGCCCCAAGGUUCCCUCAGAAUGGUUGGAAAUCAUUCGAAGAGUGCAAAGGCAGAAGGGAGCUUGACUGCGAGACCUACAAGUCGAGCAGGGACGAAAGUCGGGCUUAGUGAUCCGGUGGUACCGCAUGGAAGGGCCAUCGCUCAACGGAUAAAAGCUACCCUGGGGAUAACAGGCUUAUCUCCCCCAAGAGUCCACAUCGACGGGGAGGUUUGGCACCUCGAUGUCGGCUCAUCGCAUCCUGGGGCUGAAGUAGGUCCCAAGGGUUGGGCUGUUCGCCCAUUAAAGCGGUACGCGAGCUGGGUUCAGAACGUCGUGAGACAGUUCGGUCCCUAUCUGUCGUGGGCGUAGGAAAUUUGAGAGGAGCUGUCCUUAGUACGAGAGGACCGGGAUGGACGUACCGCUGGUGUACCAGUUGUUCCGCCAGGAGCACCGCUGGGUAGCUAUGUACGGAAGGGAUAAGCGCUGAAAGCAUCUAAGCGUGAAGCCCCCCUCAAGAUGAGAUUUCCCAAUUAGUAAGACCCCUU
rnacentral:rRNA from 1 species